CCGAACAAAGGAAAUCAUUCUGGUAUUUACCGAUACUUGUUACGAGACAUCUUGUUAUAGACGUCAGCUUUCUCUGCUCACAAUAUUAACUAGAAAACGUUGCGGAUAAAGAAGACUUUAAUAAUUAGACAUUUCGAUCCAAACCUACCUCUUUUCGUCUUUUCCGAUUGAAAUCGUGUUCUGCAUUUAGAACGACAAUUUUUAACCGAAUGUUAAGAGAUCAUGAACGUGUACUUUACUCAGGUAAAGACUGCGUAUACCAAAGACUAGAAACCACUGACAUGGAUAGCGCACGCCAUUGUCAGGUAUUACAGGGGUUGAAGUCAACGGAAGACUGCCAAAAAACAUCUUACAACACCCUUACAAAGCCUAUCCCGCUAUAUUAGUAUGUUAUUACAGGGUUGUGGUAAUUUGAUCAAGAUGUCCUACUGUUCGACCUUUGGAUGUAGCAACAUAUCGACUAAAAGAUGUGGCAAGGUGUAUCAUUUGUUAAGUAACUCAUUGCGUAUCAGUUAAGAGAAUGUUACUAACUAAUUUAUAGAAAAAGGGUAAGUCUGUAACACACAAACAAAUCCAUAUCGAAGUUGAUGUGUGAUAAAUUGAACUUAAUGCAAGAUACAUGUAAAUACUUUGCUAAGCAUGAACACUGUUUACUUAAUAAUUUUAAAUAAUAAUAUAAUAUAACUUUAUUGGUAAUAUUACAUGUAAUUGUACUGACUCAGCUUCAUUAUCUACACAAACAAGGCUAUUUAUAUAGGCUCUUUUGCUAAACUAUUCGCUCCCAGUGGUAUUGUAAUAUGUGUUAGUGCAAAAUAAUGUGUUUUUUAUGAUUAUUUUAGACCACUUACUUUUAAUUCAAAUAGAUGUUUUCAUUUAUUUGUCAGUACAUUGUUACAUCAAUCGAAAAAAUAUCUAAUUUGUCAACAGAAAAAAAAAAAUAUAAUUAUUAACGAACCGACUUUUUCUAACAUUAAACCCUAACUGUAAUAGUUAAUACAGUAAGGUAAAAUAUACCAGAAUCAGGGUAAUUGAUAUAUUUUGUUACAACUUUGCUGUUUAGUUUUUACUAAUUUUAAUAUUUACGAACAUGUGAAAAUAAAUAUUAUUCAUAAAUUUUACUUACGUUUCCAUAAAAGGUUCUUGUACAUCAUGUCUUACUAACAAAUUUAAACGUAAUUAGUUAGUUAAUCCGCUAUUUUUUCACGUAUUGCUGUCGCUCUUGAUUUGUCUGUAUAAAUAAUUCCUUCAUUCAGCAACAAUAGAAUUUGUAGCAACUGAUAAAUAAACAUUUGUUUUGGUUUUGGUU